UUGAUGGGAGCUUGCUCCCUGAUAUCAGCGGCGGACGGGUGAGUAACACGUGGGUAACCUGCCUGUAAGACUGGGAUAACUCCGGGAAACCGGGGCUAAUACCGGAUAACUCAUUUCCUCGCAUGAGGAAAUGUUGAAAGAUGGCUUCUUGCUAUCACUUACAGAUGGACCCGCGGCGCAUUAGCUAGUUGGUGAGGUAACGGCUCACCAAGGCCACGAUGCGUAGCCGACCUGAGAGGGUGAUCGGCCACACUGGGACUGAGACACGGCCCAGACUCCUACGGGAGGCAGCAGUAGGGAAUCUUCCGCAAUGGACGAAAGUCUGACGGAGCAACGCCGCGUGAGUGAUGAAGGUUUUCGGAUCGUAAAGCUCUGUUGUUAGGGAAGAACAAGUGCCGUUCGAAUAGGGCGGCACCUUGACGGUACCUAACCAGAAAGCCACGGCUAACUACGUGCCAGCAGCCGCGGUAAUACGUAGGUGGCAAGCGUUGUCCGGAAUUAUUGGGCGUAAAGCGCGCGCAGGUGGUUCCUUAAGUCUGAUGUGAAAGCCCACGGCUCAACCGUGGAGGGUCAUUGGAAACUGGGGAACUUGAGUGCAGAAGAGGAAAGUGGAAUUCCAAGUGUAGCGGUGAAAUGCGUAGAUAUUUGGAGGAACACCAGUGGCGAAGGCGACUUUCUGGUCUGUAACUGACACUGAGGCGCGAAAGCGUGGGGAGCAAACAGGAUUANAUACCCUG
rnacentral:rRNA from 1 species